rnacentral:rRNA from 1 species
UCUACUGAAAGAGUUUUCGGACAAUGGAUGUAGAGGAAAGUGGCGGACGGGUGAGUAACGCGUGAGGAACCUGCCUUGAAGAGGGGGACAACAGUUGGAAACGACUGCUAAUACCGCAUGACGCAUAGAGGUCGCAUGAUCUUUAUGCCAAAGAUUUAUCGCUUCAAGAUGGCCUCGCGUCUGAUUAGCUGGUUGGCGGGGUAACGGCCCACCAAGGCGACGAUCAGUAGCCGGACUGAGAGGUUGAACGGCCACAUUGGGACUGAGAUACGGCCCAGACUCCUACGGGAGGCAGCAGUGGGGAAUAUUGGGCAAUGGGCGCAAGCCUGACCCAGCAACGCCGCGUGAAGGAAGAAGGCUUUCGGGUUGUAAACUUCUUUUAAGAGGGAAGAGCAGAUGACGGUACCUCUAGAAUAAGCCACGGCUAACUACGUGCCAGCAGCCGCGGUAAUACGUAGGUGGCAAGCGUUGUCCGGAUUUACUGGGUGUAAAGGGCGUGCAGCCGGGUCUGCAAGUCAGAUGUGAAAUCCAUGGGCUCAACCCAUGAACUGCAUUUGAAACUGUAGAUCUUGAGUGUCGGAGGGGCAAUCGGAAUUCCUAGUGUAGCGGUGAAAUG